UACGAAGGGGGCUAGCGUUGCUCGGAAUCACUGGGCGUAAAGCGCACGUAGGCGGAUUGCUAAGUCAGGGGUGAAAUCCUGGAGCUCAACUCCAGAACUGCCUUUGAUACUGGCGAUCUCGAGUCCGGGAGAGGUGAGUGGAACUGCGAGUGUAGAGGUGAAAUUCGUAGAUAUUCGCAAGAACACCAGUGGCGAAGGCGGCUCACUGGCCCGGUACUGACGCUGAGGUGCGAAAGCGUGGGGAGCAAACAGGG
rnacentral:rRNA from 1 species